rnacentral:rRNA from 1 species
AUUGAACGCUGGCGGCAUGCCUUACACAUGCAAGUCGAACGGCAGCACGGGGGCAACCCUGGUGGCGAGUGGCGAACGGGUGAGUAACACAUCGGAACGUGCCCAGUAGUGGGGGAUAGCUCGGCGAAAGCCGGAUUAAUACCGCAUACGACCUACGGGUGAAAGCGGGGGACUUUCGGGCCUCGCGCUAUUAGAUGAGCCUAAGUCCGAUUAGCUAGUUGGUAGGGUAAUGGCCUACCAAGGCGACGAUCGGUAGCUGGUCUGAGAGGACGACCAGCCACACUGGGACUGAGACACGGCCCAGACUCCUACGGGAGGCAGCAGUGGGGAAUAUUGGACAAUGGGCGCAAGCCUGAUCCAGCGAUGCCGCGUGUGUGAAGAAGGCCUGCGGGUUGUAAACCUCUUUCAGCAGGGACGAAGCGAAAGUGACGGUACCUGCAGAAGAAGCACCGGCCAACUACGUGCCAGCAG